UACGUAGGGCGCAAGCGUUGUCCGGAAUUAUUGGGCGUAAAGAGCUCGUAGGCGGUCUGUCGCGUCCGUUGUGAAAACUGGAGGCUCAACCUCCAGCCUGCAGUGGGUACGGGCAAACUAGAGUGCGGUAGGGGAGAUUGGAAUUCCUGGUGUAGCGGUGGAAUGCGCAGAUAUCAGGAGGAACACCGAUGGCGAAGGCAGAUCUCUGGGCCGUAACUGACACUGAGGAGCGAAAGCAUGGGUAGCGAACAGG
rnacentral:rRNA from 1 species